AAUCCAUGCAUCGGACAUUUUUGAAUUAAAUCUUUAAAUCGUUCCUAAGCUUCAUAUAAAGUUUCAUCCUUAAAUUUCUAAAAAUAUGUGAUCUCAUUUCUAAACUU
rfam:Gossypium hirsutum cultivar TM-1 chromosome 25, whole genome shotgun sequence